UACGGAGGGUGCAAGCAUUAAUCGGGUUUAUUGGGCGUAAAGGGCGCGUAGGCGGAAAGAUAAGUCAGAUGUGAAAUCCCGGGGCUCAACCUCGGAACAGCAUUUGAAACUAUCUUUCUAGAGGGUAGGCGGAGAAAACGGAAUUCCACAAGUAGCGGUGAAAUGCGUAGAUAUGUGGAAGAACACCGGUGGCGAAGGCGGUUUUCUAGCUUACUCCUGACGCUGAGGCGCGAAAGCAAGGGGAUCAAACAGG
rnacentral:rRNA from 1 species